CCACUUCAUUACCAUUACACCAUGAAUCGUUUACAAUUUCACUUCCAAUCUAUCCAUUUUCCAUUCAAACCAAUCUACACAUUUACAAUUUCACUACAUUACAAUAUUCAAAUGUUUCUAUUACAACCAUUCAUACAAGACAAUGCCAACAUACAUCAAAAUCCCAUAAUUAAACUUCAAUUCAUUUUCACUAUAACGUUCAAGUUUCAAGUACAACCACAAACCAUGUUAUUAAUCCAAGAUUUCAAAACUACAAAAAAAAAAAACACAAUUUAAACCCCACAAAUAAUCCCAAAACAACUCCAAUGCAUUCCAUGAGCACUCCCCAAAGACAAACCUAGACUAACAUGUGACCUAAGGUUCUAAUCUAAACACUCAACCACAAUUCUUCAUGACCAAUUUCCUCCGAUCCGAUGCAACCCAAGUACCAUGUGCAACCUUCAUUUUAUGAGCUCGAGCCGAAUCUCCAAUGACCUGCAAAACCAUCCGCCCAUAGACAAGAUAAGUUCACCAUUUGAUAUCAUCCAAAAUAAAGUAAAAAAAAAUGAAGAACAAGUUAACAUGAGGACAAUACACUACACCAGUUAACAUAAUUGAUACUUGACAGAAAAAGAAUUUAACAUUUUCCUGCUAAGCCACAUUUCUGCAGAACAAUUCAGGAAAAAAAAGCAUUUAACUCCAAAUUUAAGCUAAGGUGGCAAACCAGUCCAUAUUCAACUGACUCUAAUUUCUAUCAAAAACUAAUCUCAAAUUAACCGUAAAUUCAGUUUCAAAUUUAAUCAAAAUCCAUUUUCCAACUAAUUUGUUCAUUUGUAACUAACAGGGUAAUUUGCAUUGAAUUUCAAUUUCAUUUCCUUGAAAUUUCACAACAAAUUUUGAAUCCGUUAAGAAGGGCAUACACGUUUCAGAUAAAAGGAGAGAUGGUGCGUUACUCAUUUAAUAUUCACGCAUCCAAAAAAUCACAGAACUCACAGAGAAAACCAAUCCUCCUCAUAUGCCAAUUGAAUUUCACUGUCAAUUGAUCUCGAAUGCGGUGAAGACGACGAUCGACGAACUCAAGAUCUGGAUGUGCGAACCUAGAGCAAAUUCUUUGGGACUGAAGGCAGAUUCAUUGGGCCUUUUGGUGGGCCUGUGCCAUGUUUAUACUUGGCAGACCCUGGGUCUGCUGGUUGCACCCCUAGUCCAUAGUCUCAAUAAUCGAUUGUUUAAUCACAUUUAUUUUGCUUUAAUUCCAACCUUUUGUUGAUUAAUCUUGG
rnacentral:lncRNA from 1 species